CCUACGGGAGGCAGCAGUGAGGAAUAUUGGUCAAUGGGCGGGAGCCUGAACCAGCCAAGCCGCGUGAGGGAAGAAGGUACAGCGUAUUGUAAACUUCUUUUGUCAGGGAACAAAGGCGGGGACUAGUCCCCGGAUGAGUGUACCUGAAGAAAAAGCAUCGGCUAACUCCGUGCCAGCAGCCGCGGUAAUACGGAGGAUGCGAGCGUUAUCCGGAUUUAUUGGGUUUAAAGGGUGCGCAGGGGGCCUGUUAAGUCAGCGGUAAAAGCUCGGGGCUAAACCCCGGCGAGCGGUUGAAACUGGCGGGCUGGAGUUGGAGAGAGGUAGGCGGAAUGCGCGGUGUAGCGGUGAAAUGCUUAGAUAUCGCGCAGAACCCCGAUUGCGAAGGCAGCGUACCGGCUCCACACUGACGCUGAGGCACGAAAGUGUGGGUAUCGAACAGGAUUAGAUACCCGUGUAGUC
rnacentral:rRNA from 1 species